GACGAACGCUGGCGGCGUGCUUAACACAUGCAAGUCAUGGGGGGUGCAGCAAUGCACAACCGGCGAACGGGUGCGUAACACGUGAGCAACCUACCGAUUUGUGGGGGAUAGCCGGGCCUAACGGCCGAGUAAUACCGCAUACGCUUAGGGCGCCGCAUGGCCGCCCUAAGCAAACUCUAUAUGAGGCAAACCGNGGGGCUCGCGUCCUAUCAGCUAGUUGGCGAGGUCACGGCUCACCAA
rnacentral:rRNA from 1 species